rnacentral:lncRNA from 1 species
UAGACUCGUUUAGUCUUCUGGCCUACAUCUUUCUCCUGUGCUGGAUGCUUCCUGCCCUCAAACAUCAGACUCCAAGUUCUUCAAUUCUGGCUUCCCUGAUCCUCAGCUUGCAGACGGCCUAUUGUGGGACCUCAUCCUGUGACCAUUCUCCCAUUGAGAACAUUAAGAGAUGGAAACUACUUCCUACUCCUUGAAUAUGGA